AAAAACAAAAAAUUUCUCAUGUUCUGAAUGUGGGAAAUGUUUUCGUUAUUAUUCAAAAUUUGUUGUCCACCUCAGGACUCACACUGGAGAGAAACCUUACUCAUGUUCUGAAUGUGUAAAAUGUUUUAGCCAGCGCUCAGAUCUUACAAAACAUCUGCGAAUUCACACAGGUGAGGAUAUUUUUUCAUGUUCUGAAUGUGGGAAAUGUUUUGUCAGCAAAUCAGAUCUUGUGAAACAUCAGAGAACUCACACAGGAGAGAGACCUUUCUCAUGCUCUAAAUGCGGGACAUGUUUCAGUCGUCAAUCAAGCCUAAUUCGCCAUCAGAGAACUCACACAGGAGAGAAGCCAUUCUCAUGUACUGAAUGUGGGAAAUGUUUUAGCCAGCAUUCAAACCUUGUUAUCCAUCACAAAACUCACACAGAAGAGAAAACAUACUCAUGUUCUAAAUGCAGGAAAUGUUAUGUCAGUAAAUCAGAGCUUGUGAAGCAUCAGAGAACUCACACAGGAGAAAAACCUUUCUCAUGUUCUGAAUGUGGGAAAUGUUUUAGUUACCACGCAUGUCUUGUUAGCCAUCAGAGUGCUCACACGGAUUAGAUAUUCUAUAAUGUUCCGAAUAUGGGAAACUAUUUUACGAGGUAUCAAUGCAUUUCUGUGGGAGUAAAACAUAUUGUAUUGUGAAUGUGAGACAUACCGAAACUGUAAUUCAUAUUGUAUUUAUCAUCCAGCAUCUCACACUAUAGAAAAGCCUUUUUCAUGUUGACACUAUAAAUAACUCUCAUAUCUUUUUGUAACCCCUUAGUGACCAGACCAUUUUUCAAUUUUCCUACUGUUAAGGAUCAGGGCUGUUUUUACAUUUCUGCGGAGUUUGUGUUUAGCUGUAAUUUUCCUCUUACUCAUUUACUGUACCCACACAUAUUAUAUUCCAUUUUCUGACCAUUAAAUGGUCAUUAUAAAGACACCAUUAUUUUCAUCAUAUCAUAUAAUUUACUUUAAAAAAAUAUAAAAUAUGAUGAAAAUGUAAAAAAAAAAAAAAAAACUUUUUCUAACUUUGACCCCCAAAAUUCUUUUACAAAUCUACAACUGCCAACACACGCCCAUGCUAAAUAGUUUCUAAGUUUUGUCCUGAGUUUAGCAAUACCCAAUGUUAACAUGUUCUUAGCUUUUGUUUGCAAGUUAUAGGGCAAUAAAUACAAGCAGCACUUUGCUAUUUCCAAACCAUUUUUUUUUUUUUCAAAAUUAAAGAAAGUUACAUUGUAACACUGAUAUCUGUCAGGAAUCCCUGAAUAA